GUAACGAUUUAGGGUAUCAGAACAAGUAAUACUGCAUGCAAAAGGGUUGAUGUUGUGUUCCGUCGGCGGGUCGCCCCGCCGAGGAAGAACAAAAGGUGCGCAUAAAAAAGGGUGUGAGAAUGGCCACCGCCGCUGGGGGCAGGGGCUCUCGGUAAUGAUCCUUCCGCAGGUUCACCUACGGAAA
rnacentral:misc_RNA from 1 species